rnacentral:tRNA from 1 species
UCCCUUGUGGCUCAGAUGGUAAAGCGCCUGUCUGCAAUGUUGGAGACCGGGGUUCGAUCCCUGGGUAGGGAA